GGACCUGCCGCGGGACCCCAGAUCGUCGGCGCCGGAGUGAGGGGCAGGGCGCACCGGGCAGGGCGCGCGGGCCUGGGCGCACCGUGCGGCCGCCACCCCACCAUGCUCAAGCGCUGCGGCCGUCGCCUGCUGCUGGCGCUGGCGGGCGCGCUGCUCGCCUGCCUGUUGGUGCUCACGGCCGACCCUCCGCCGCCCCCGGUGCCCGCUGAGCGCGGUCGGCGCGCGCUGCGCAGCCUGGCGGGCCCCUCGGGGGCGGCCCCAGCUCCUGGGCUGGAGGCGGCGGCGGCACCCGGGGUGCUAGUCCGCGAGGUGCACAGUCUGUCCGAGUACUUCAGCCUGCUGACCCGCUCUCGUAGAGACGCGGGCCCACCGCCCGGCAGCGUCCCCCGCCCCGCAGACGGCCAUCCGCGGCCCCCGGCCGAGCCACUCACGCCGCACGACGUCUUCAUCGCGGUCAAGACCACCAAAAAGUUUCACCGCGCGCGCCUCGACUUGCUGCUGGAGACGUGGAUCUCGCGCCACAAGGAGAUGACGUACAUUUUCACGGACGGGGAAGAUGAAGCCCUGGCAAGGCGCACGGGCAACGUGGUCAAUACUAACUGCUCGGCUGCCCACAGCCGCCAGGCGCUGUCCUGCAAGAUGGCCGUGGAGUAUGACCGCUUCGUCGAAUCGGGGAGGAAGUGGUUCUGCCACGUGGAUGACGAUAACUACGUGAACGUGCGCGCCUUGCUGAAGCUGCUGGCCAGCUACCCGCACACGCAGGACAUCUACCUCGGCAAGCCCAGCCUGGACAGGCCCAUCCAGGCCACAGAGAGGGUCAGCGAGAGCAAGGUGCGGCCUGUCCACUUCUGGUUUGCCACCGGCGGGGCUGGCUUCUGCAUCAGCCGGGGGCUGGCCCUGAAGAUGAGCCCUUGGGCCAGCGGAGGCCACUUCAUGAGCACGGCCGAGCGGAUCCGGCUGCCGGACGACUGCACCAUCGGCUACAUCGUGGAGGCUCUGCUGGGCGUGCCCCUCAUCCGCAGCGGGCUCUUCCACUCCCACCUGGAGAACCUGCAGCAGGUCCCCGCCUCCGAGCUCCAUGAGCAGGUGACCUUGAGCUACGGCAUGUUUGAAAACAAGCGGAAUGCUGUCCACAUUAAGGGGCCCUUCUCAGUGGAGGCCGACCCAUCCAGGUUCCGCUCCAUCCACUGCCACCUGUAUCCGGACACACCCUGGUGUCCCCACACUGCCAUCUUCUAGCAGCUACGGCUGAAACCCUGUCCCCGGGCACCCCUGGUAUCCAAAGGGCCCGGGGACCCCUGUUGUGCCGCCCUGGCCUUGGCAUUCGAGGCUCCCCCAGGGCUGUGCGUGCGUGUGUGUGUGUGUGUGUGUGUACUGUGUGCCCAUCCGUGUAGCAGACUGCUGGGCAGCUCUGCUGUGCCGAGGAACAGGCGAGGCACCGCCUGUCUUUCCAUGCUCCACCCCAGAAGGAUUUGUGAGUCAGAGGUCACUCUGAGGGCAGGUUUAUUAUCAUUCUGGGGUCUUUGGGCAGCAUGGGGACCAGGGGCUGCUCUGCAGCGAGGUGCAGGUGCCUUUCCCUCCUGCUGAGCGCAGGCCCAGCGCUGCAGGCGCCUGCCCCCUGGGAUCCUGGCUCCUUAGAGCCCCCAGGACAACUCACCCUGCUCAGUGCUGCGAGAAAGCUGGGUUUGGGGGAUGUGACCCGAGUCCCCUCCUCCCACUGAGCUUUGGCCUGGGUACCUGGGGAACAGCAGCCCCAGUGGCCUUGCCGCUGGGUGGAGUGCGGCACAAUCCCGGGCAGGGGUCUUCCCGCUCUCUUAGCCAUCUUCCCUUUGUGACGGGGAGUCAGCUGAGGAUCUUAUCUCCUCUCCAAAGUAGAGAGAAAGUCACCCAUAGUGGGUGUGUCUGUAAAUAUUGUGACAGUAUUUUUUACUGUGCUUCUUUUUCGAAAGGGGGUGGGUACAAAGUAGGGAGUUUUUGUCUGUGUUUUCGGGGGGUUGGGGAGGGCGCUAUUUUAUCUUUUCUGUGGAUCAGAAAAAGCAGCAGCCGAACUUGGGAUAAUCUUUGUUGUUAAAGCUGAUGGAAAUGUCUAACACUCUAUGUAUUUAUAUGUCGUGGUAUCUGGCCUCUCCCUGCCCACCUCCUGCAUAGAACCUGUCUCCUACCAGUCCAGCUCGGCGCACCUGACCAGCGAGGGCUGGCCACAUCUCCUCCUGGCUCAUCCCAGUGAAAUCCCCAGAUCCUUGCCAAGUGAUCGCUCACUUCCUGUUUGAACGUGGUAGUCACAGCUGAGCCCCAGAUCAGCAGCCGGCGGUCACUGGGAACUUGCUGGGAAUGCAGAUUCCUGGGCCGCCCCAGCCCAUCUAGGACUCCAGCUAAACCUAAGACGAGAGACAAUUCACGCUGUCCCCACAUGGCACCGCAGAAGCACGGAGCCCCAGAUGCCUCCACUCCUGGGUGCUUAGCAGCCCCCCAUCAGAGCUUAUGUAUCCUGGGCCCCCUCCCCCAGAAGCCAAGUCAAAACGGAAACCACUGGACCAGGCUGCUGGCGGCGGUUGAGUUGCUGCUCAGACCACUGGUAAGGACUCCAGCGAGGCCAGUGGGCAGCGAGGCGCCCGGGGAAGCACUGGGAACCCCGCCUCGGGUUACAGUGGGGACUCAGGAGAUGCUCCUCCUGGAGACACACCAUCCUCCCAUUUGGCCUCUCUGACCCGCUCCAACAGCCCUGCCCAGGGCCAGGUCUGUCACCUCUCCUGCUGGCUAGAGACGGGGCCCUCCUCACAGGAAUCCGCGUCUCCUCAGGCCCCUCCAGCGCAAGCCCAGAUUGCAAAUGAGGCUUUCAAGCCGUCGAGACCACCGCUCC